GACGCAGCGACGCCGCGUGAGCGAAGAAGGCCUUAGGGUUGUAAAGCUCUGUUUUAAGGGACGAAUGUCACCUUAAGUAAUAUGUAAGGUGAAUGACGGUACCUUAAGAGGAAGCCCCGGCUAACUACGUGCCAGCAGCCGCGGUAAUACGGGAGCCAGCAGCCGCGGUAAUACGGGAGCCAGCAGCCGCGGUAAUACGGGAGCCAGCAGCCGCGGUAAUACGGGAGCCAGCAGCCGCGGUAAUACGGAAGCCAG
rnacentral:rRNA from 1 species